GCACUAGGAAGGCUGAGACAGGAGGUGAUGUGGCUAGGCAGAGAAAGGAAUAUAAGGCGGGAGGAUUUUUUCAAAUCAUCACCCAACCUUCCUUCCACCCAAAACCUCACCUCUGCAAAACCUCCCCUACUUCUUCUAGAUUUCAAAAGCUGCCAGCUGUCUGACCUCCUGCUAUGGUUUGAAUGCUUGAAUCCCUCUCCAAAUCUCAUGACAAAACCUUAAAUCCUGUGACGUGAGCUCUGAGCUUCCUGCUCCGGAUGCUAUGCCUGCUGCUGCCAUGCUUCCCAGUGGACUCUUAAUCUUCUGGAACAGAAGCCCAUAUACUCCCUUUCUCCUGUAAGUGAUCUUGAUCAUGACGUUUUAUCACAGCAAUAGAAAAGUAACUAAUAUACCUCCUCCUUACACUCUAUAGCACUGUUUAUUUUCCCUAUAAUAUGGUUGUAAUUUUUAAUUAUCUUGUUUACUUAUACUGCUGCAGCAAGAGAGACAGAUCCAACAAGAUGGUUGAGUAAAUUGUGUUUGCUACCAUGUCUGACAACUCGAGUUCCAUCCCUGGGAUCCACAUGAUGGUGGAAGGAGCAAAGGUACUAAAAAUAAGAUACUUUCCACUAAAUCCUCAAGGGCAAGGACUCUGCUUUAUGUCCAGAAUAUUGGCCACAUAGUAGGUAUUCACCCACUGAAUAAAUCACACAAUCAAGCUACCUUA